rnacentral:rRNA from 1 species
AGAGUUUGAUUAUGGCUCAGGACGAACGCUGGCGGCGCGCCUAACACAUGCAAGUCGAACGGAGCUGAGAGGAGCUUGCUUUUCUUAGCUUAGUGGCGAACGGGUGAGUAACGCGUGAGUAACCUGCCCUGGAGUGGGGGACAACAGUUGGAAACGACUGCUAAUACCGCAUAAGCCCACGAUCCGGCAUCGGAUUGAGGGAAAAGGAUUUAUUCGCUUCAGGAUGGACUCGCGUCCAAUUAGCUAGUUGGUGAGGUAACGGCCCACCAAGGCGACGAUUGGUAGCCGGACUGAGAGGUUGAACGGCCACAUUGGGACUGAGACACGGCCCAG